rnacentral:misc_RNA from 1 species
CACCGCGGUAAUUCCAGCUCCAAUAGCGUAUAUUAAAGUUGUUGCAGUUAAAAAGCUCGUAGUUGAAUUUCGGGAUUGACACAUCGGUCGUGCCUUAAGGGGUAUGAACUGGUGUAGUCAAUUUCUCACCUUCUGGAGAACCGCAAUGCCCUUAAUUGGGUGUCGCGGGGAACCAGGACCUUUACUUUGAAAAAAUUAGAGUGUUUAAAGCAGGCAUUUUGCUUGAAUACAUUAGCAUGGAAUAAUAAAAUAGGACGGAUGAUUCUAUUUUGUUGGUUUCUAGGACCACCGUAAUGAUUAAUAGGGAUAGUUGGGGGCAUUAGUAUUCAAUUGUCAGAGGUGAAAUUCUUGGAUUUAUUGAAGACUAACUACUGCGAAAGCAUUUGCCAAGGAUGUUUUCAUUAAUCAAGAACGAAAGUUAGGGGAUCGAAGACGAUCAGAUACCGUCGUAGUCUUAACCAUAAACUAUGCCGACUAGGAAUCAGACGAUGUUAAUUUUUUAAUGACUCGUUUGGCACCUUACG